CAGCAGCAAUGGGGGAAGGAGCUCUCCUAGAGGAAGCUAAGUGAAGAGGAUUGAUGGCCCAUCUCCUGCUUCUGAAAGAAGAGACUUGUGUGCAUUCUAGCUGGAUGAUGGAGCUACUUUGGGGCCUAAAGAAAGAAUCUGGGACAAUACGUGUUGGAUUCCAGAUGGAAGAGAAUUAUGAGAUGUGUAUGGUCCCCCUCUUUCCUUCCCACCCCCCAAGGGAAAAAAAAACCUACUUGAGAAGAACAGAAUUUACAAUUCAAGUGACUGUUUCAGUCUCCUAACAGUUAAUGUCAUCUGUGUUCCUUAAUUUCCCCACUCCAGAUUGCUGUUUCUAUACAGAGCUUUGUUAAACCUCAGUUUAUUUUGAAACAUCUUUAUGCUCAGGCUCCUUUGGUUGUCUCUCAUUUUACUCCCAGUCAUAUUAAGGAGUUUAGUGACUUUUUCUAACAUCCUCACCAGCAGUACACACUUCUCCCCACCCAUUCUUCUUCAUGAAGGAAUACAUUUUGGGUUGACUUCCCUGCAGCCAUCUAUUCUGUUUCCUAGAGAGGUGACCAAAGUAGUUAGCCAUGUUUGUCUGAAGUCAGGCAGUAGUAAGAGUAGAUAUGCAUGUUACAUACUGACUAAAUUAUAUAACACAAACUUUCAUGAACAAAGGCUCACUUCAUCAGAUGCUGUGAAAGGACAAUAUAGAACAGUGUACCAGUGUCCCAGAGAGGUACCACUGCUCUGCUGUGGCUGGAACCACAAUGAACAACUCCCCACCCAGUACUGUACUUCGGACAAGCAACUCUCUUUUUAAAUUUUCCUUUGUUUGGAAUUUAGAUUAUAAUGCUAAACAUGCUUCUAGGAUAUAGAGAUGCAGAUUCUUGGACAAAUAUAAUAUAUAUCUAUAUACUGCUGUACUCUAUGUAUGUUUAGUAACCCAGUACCAGAAAUGUGGCCUCGAUCUUCUAAUUCCUCUACCUGCAUGCAUUAUUUUCAGUGAUAAUAUAUUCAAAUUCUAUAUUGCUACAUUUCCAAACUACUUCAAAGCAGACAUUAGCAAUAUGAAAACAGAAUGCCACUUUUCCAGUAUAGGCUAUGUAGUGUUGCUAUGUAACAUGAAAUGCAGAAUCAAAAAACAUCUCUUAUGUGAAAAGAACCAUAUUAGUUGUCCCACGUGCAUUAAUUCAGAGAAUAAGAAUGUCUGAAAUGUACUGCAUCACUGGCAGCCAAGAAUGAGAAACUUUUCAUUAGUGAAAAUGGAAUCACAACAUUUUCAACUCUCUGAUCCUUUGAGGAUAAUAUUAAAAGUGUGAGUUGCACGUCCCAACCAGAAAGCCAUUUUGUUGUGGCCAGGUGAAGAAUGAAGAUUUUAAAACUUUGUGGAAAACAAGAGGCCAAAUUCUCAGCUGGUAUAAAAUACAUAGUACAUUGACUCCAAUGUCAUUGGAGCAUUGAAACAAUGUCAUUUUAUAAAGAUCCUUAGAAAUAACCCAAGGGGCACAUCCUCAGCUAGUAUAAGAGUCCUAUUUAGGCUUUAUCAGAGAGAAACUAUUGAAAUAACGAUAAUUUAGACAUAGGAACAUAGUUUGGAAUGUCUGAGAGAUUCUCUCUCGCUUCACGGCUGUGGUUGAAAUCAGUAAAUAUGCUAGAGCCCAGCUUCUUUGUCAGGUUGGUGACCUUUCCAGGCUUGAGGGUUUCCUUUUAUCUAAGUCACCUGAAGCCUGCAGGGCCUUCUAUAAAGCCUAAGUCUUUGUAUAGAACUUCUAGGGAGGGCCGCAACGUAUGGUGGUAGGAAGGAAAUUGGUUAGGAAAGAUGAAGGAUGGGUGUUUCGCUUUGUUUACUAAAUGACUUUCACUUCCUCUAGCCUCCUCUGCCAUUUUACUGGCUUUUACUUUAUUUUGCUGUUCUGAACUGUACCUUUAAAUGUUCUUUUCCAUAUUUGCUAAAUCAAACCCCCCAAAAUUAGCAAUUUUCAGGAGAAAUAACCUCAUGCAGUUGUGCUGGAACUACUUAGGCUUGAAUAGAAUAUGUUACACAGUGAUGUGUGGCUUCCAAACCCUUUACAAAGAGCUGACAGGUCAAAUCAUUUACACUUUCAACGUGUAGUUAAAGCAGGAGCAACUCCAUUGAUCAAGUUACAUCCAUGGACACCAGGACUUAAUUUAGGGCUGAAUGUAUUGGUAUUUAUGCUUUGGAAGCUUCCAGCCAACCAGUUGGACACCAGGAAUUAAAUUCAGCUGAGGUAUGGAUACACUUGUUUGGAAGUUUGCAUGUAUUAACAACAGGAUUACAUUUGUAAAGAUGAAGAUGAUACACGGGCUAGAGUUUCUAGUCGAGCACAAGCUUAAAUACCUCCCUAGAUCCCUGAUUAUCAAGUAGGGUACUACAGCACCCUUGACAUCUUUUCAAGGGCGCUUCAGGCAGUACCACACGACGUUGGCACUCUUAGGUGUGCAAACAUAAAUCACAAGAAAAAUCCAGAUAUUUCAAAUAGGAAUCUAUAGUGUUAAAAACAGUUUGAUCUGUUGUGGUCUUUGUGCAUUCUCUGCAACAGAAGAAUUGCUCUAUUAUUAUUAUUUUUUCUCCAUAGUCAAAAAAACAAAUGCAAUACAAGAGCUGGCACUUUCUGAGGGGUGCCUUGAAUCAAACAAGAGGUGCUUUGAGUCCAAAAGGUUAAGAACCCCAGCCCUAGAUCUAUGACAGAACCCAACACUUAGUAGUUCUCUUAAACCCUAAAGUUUGUCAUUAUUAUUACCUACCUCUUCGUUUCUGGCAUUGUUUCUUCAUUUCAUAGGCUGCAGGUAUUCUAAGAAAUAAAACUGUUUUUUUUCAGAUAUUUUGGGAUUGGCUUUUUCUGAUAUUCUACUUUCAGAAAUAGGAGAUUGGAUUCUGUUUUAAUUGCAGCUGUCUGAAAUUUUCAUAACAAACCUCCUCACCUUCUACAAGCAACUUGUAUUUGAGGUUUACAAACGUGAAUUGAGUUUCCCAUGUCUGAUAAUAAUAUCUUUAAGGAAGUAGGAAUUCUGAAUUUAGGAGAAGCAGUUCUACUUUUCACAUUGCCAUUACCACUGCCAACUGCCCUUGUAUUGUGAAGUCUGACGCUUCCCCAGAAAGCACAGUACAAAUACAGAAAGACUUUUUUUUCCAUGGAAUUGACUACUUAAGUAUCCAUUUUCUUUCUCUAUUUUGAGCGUUGUAUGCUUUUUAAAAGAAGACUGCUCUUUUUACCAUGGGCUGAGUGCCAGUAUUCCUGUUAUCAGUGCCUGCCUUCCUUCCAAGCAAUGGCAUAAGCCAAUAUGCAACUAAGCUCAGCUAAAAUGUACUUGGAGUUCAGUGCUGUCAUUAUACAGUAAACUAAUAAAUAUCCUAAAAAUAACAACAAUGGAAUAAAGCAUGAUGUCUUCCAAGGUGACACCUUGCCCCAUUUUUCUUCUUCCUAUGUCUGUUUCUGUUGUGUGCAACGUUGAGACAUAUAAAGGCUGUGUCCCUAUAUCUUUAUGUGCAAAU